rnacentral:lncRNA from 1 species
AGCCAGAGCCAUGCCCAUUUUCAUUUCAUAAUUUGAUUCGAGUGCGGAAAGUUGAGUGCAAGCCAAGCAGUUUUUUUCAAGUGUUUGUAAAAUGUUUGUGACUUUCGAGGCGCUUAAAUUAGGGAUCUAAUUUAAGCGCCUCGAAUAUUCCUAGCAGUUCUGCAGAAAAUACAAAAUAAAACUCUUUUCGCAUGGGUAAGACGAAUCGUUGGCUCGCCCUUUUUGAUUUUCUACGAUCCCCUCCCUUCAUAGGUUUGCGAUUACGCAACACGGAUCGAAUUUCACCGCAAGGGCACCUUCACCAUCCAGAGGCUGGCUUAGCUUUUUCACAAUUGAAAUGAAGGGCGUGUGCGCGUGGCCGAGAACGAAGUAUCAACGGGCAACGAUGGCAAGGAUAACAAGGACUCGCAGGCACAAGGACCUUCGAUAACUGCAUACACUUGGAGCUUUGGAGCGCUAACACGCCAAUAUUUUUUUUGCGUUAUCCUCCAGAUUUGGCUACAGGAUGACCACCGUUUGCUCCGUUUUGAUGGGCUUCGCCUUGUGUGUCACGAUCUUGCAUUGUUUUCGCAUGAAAAGUCAUGCGCAAAUUCUCCAAGAUCUCGACAUGCAACGCGAAGCCCAUUAACACGUAGCAAACGUUGGUCAUUCUAAUGCCGAAUCUGGAGGCCAAUGGAAAAAAUGUAGGCGCUGUUCCGCUACCAAAGCAAGCCAAGUUUAAACAGGGAGGGGCCACAGCGACAUCCUCAUCGACGGCUUCAGCGACAGCCAGAGAAAGAGCUACAGCAACACAGCCACUUGGCCAACACUUCGUCUUUCCUAAGGCGGUGGAGUUUCCUUCAGAAGAUUAACAUCACAGAUAGCCAGCAGCCAAAGCCUUCAGAAGGCAACCGCAGCAACCACGAAAUAACAUAUAUUGUCAU